CCUCUUAAUGGUACAGAUAAUCACCUUUAAUUAUCAUGUCUGUCCGUUACCCGAAUCAAAUGUCAACCCUGGGAGGAUAGGGACAGCGUCUGCCUCGUUCAGUUUUGGCCUGCGGACCUCAAACAGGGUUCAGCGGCCAUUUGGUGAAUGAGGAGUAAUAAUAAUCAAAGUGUCCUCAGUGCAGGCUAUGCACCAGUACCGUCGAAAGCCGUUCAUGUACCAAACUCCUUUCAUUCUAUCAUAUUCCAUGAGAGAGGCUGCUGUCCCUGUCUCCAGUCUAGAUAAUGAAACGGAGUCACUGGGAUGUAAAGUGACUUGCCCAAGGGCGCCCUCCUGGGACUUGAACUUGCCCGGACUGAAUUUAGAAUCUUGGUGCUCAGCCGCCUCGCGCGCCACGGGGAUGGACGGAACGUCAGCGGUCCCGGAGCCGUGAUUCUAGAAGGCACACACGUUCAAGUGGUGGGGAGAGACAAAUCGGUAAAAGCAAGAGACGGCAGCACGCGAUGGGGAGCUCCAGGCGUGUGGGAGGGGGGUGUUCCUGUCCUAGGGCUACUGUCACAGACGAUCACAACCUUGGGGGAUUAAGACAACACGGAUUUUCUUCUCGUAACGGUUCUGGAGGCCAGAGUCCACAGUCAGUUUCACGGGGGCUAAAGUCAAGGUGUCAGCAAGGCUGGGCCCUUCUGGGGACUGGAGGGGAGAGUCCGUUCCCUUAGCCUCUGGCUCUGAGUACCCCUCGCGUUCCUGCGUUCGCCGGCUUGUGGUGUCCUCUCCAUCUUCAGGGGACUUCUGCCCCAUCCCUGCUUCUGUCGUGACACUUCCUUGGACUCUAAGCCUCCUCUUUCCCCCCUGGUAAGGACUGUCUAAAGACUUUUGUGGUUACACCGGGCCCACCCAGAUAAUCCCCAUAAUUUGCCCACCUCGAGAGCCUUCACUGAAUCAUACCUUCAAAGUCCGUUUUGCUCUGUAAGGUGAAAAUUCACAGGUUCUGGGGACUAGGACCUGGGCGUAUGUAGGGAGGGGUGUGCUGUUCAGCUGAUUGCAGAGGGUGGUUGGCAAUUUUAAAUAGGUGGUGGGGGAAGGCCUGGCUGAGAAGACAAUGUCUGGCAGACGUGGAGGAACCCGAGUGGUGGCCCAUGGUGACCUCAGGACAGAGCCUUCAGAGAAAGAACAGUCAGCACAGAGCCUGUGGCCGGCGUGUGGCUGGCAUCAUCCGGCAAACGCCGGGAGGUCAGCCUAGCUCGGCUGAGUGGGGGAGGGGGCAACGGUGGGGCAUGAGGUCACAGAGGCCAUGGGGACAGGCCCUCAGGGCUGUGGCAAGGGCCUGGGGUUUUAGUCUCAGUAGGUGGGAGCCAGCGGGCUUCUGAGCAGAGGACAGACAGGAUCUGAUUCGGGUUUUCACAAGCUUUCUCUGGCUGCCAGGUGGAGAACAGUCUGUUGGGCGAGAGUGGAAGAAUGAGGCCUGCUGGGGAACUUUGGCAAGAGCCCAGAUGAGGGAGGCUGGGGAGAGGCUGCGAUGUGCCCCCAGAGUCUCCUUCCAAACCAGAUAAUCCCGGGCCGGCUGCUGCUGAGAGAUCAGGGCCGAGUCCCUCCCCAGGGAACGCUGUUGGCCAAAGGGAGCUGCUUUGCCCAAGGCCACUUUCUUUCCAUGGGAGCCAUCCAUUUCCAAAGACUGCCCUAGAUUCCAGAGACGAGGAGGACCUUCCCACCCGUUCACUUCAGGAAGACCAGGAACCUUCCCCUUUACAUCGCCAUUGGCUGAAUCAGGUCGGCUCUGCUGGCUGCAGACUCGUUCUGUUUAUCAAAGGCUGUAGCAGGUGCAUUAAAACGUAUCAGCCCAGCCCCAGGCAGAUGGAGGCGACACGGAGAGCUUGGAAUCGAAAGGAGCUGCUGAUCACCGUGACCCCAAGAUACACCUGCUUUCUCUUUGUUAAGGAAUUAGACACGAUACUUUCAUCUUUAAAAACAGAUCAAAGAAAGAAAGAAGGAAAGGAAAGGAAGGAAGAAAGGAAGGGAGGAAGGAAGGAAGGAAGGAAGGAAGGAAGGAAGGAAGGAAGAAAAUGCCUGCAAAUCCUUGGUCGUACAUACUUUCUGGUGUUUGACAUCUCCCAGACAUGGUUUGAACUUUGAACAGUCUUAUGGAAAAUUUGAGAUCGUGUAAGAACGGGCUCACCGCUCUCCCCCUGACACUGUAACAGGAACUCAUACUGAUAUUGGCUUAUUAAGUUACAGAGCAUGUGGGUUCCCAUCGGUCAACAGGUGAGUCAGCAAUCCAAAGAGGUCUCCAAGGACCGGAUUCUUUCCAUCUUGGCGUUGUCUUCUGAGUGGACUUCUUUCUGCCCGAGGGAGGAGACCCUCCUGGGGACUGAGGGUCACUUGGGUUCAGAAGAAACAAUCAGGCCGAGGAAAGCUUUGGAAGCUUUCUUAAAGGAGCAAGCAGGAAGUUUUCUAGAAAACUCCAGCAAACCCUUUCCGGAAUCUCCUUGGCCCCAACUGCAUCACAUGUGUGUUCUUGACCAAAUCACUGCCCAGGAAAAUGGCUGGAGUCAGCCCCUCACAGGCCCGUGGAAUGUGAGGGGGACAGGGGCUUCACGAGAAGCCAAGGACCCUUCCCGGGGAGGGUUGGUCAUGGAUGCAGUGGGCAGUCAGUGAUACCCACCGGCUGCCUAGGAAAACCAGCCUCAUCCGCCAGCCUCACCGAAGGAAAACUCUGUUUUCUUCUCCUUACCGCUCGCAUCGAACACUUCUUCCCACACCCCCCAAUUCUGCAGCACAGCUGGGUGUACUGCAAUUCAGUUCAGUUCCGACACUGUCCGCUCUGAGUUAGCGUCAGACCGCACAGGCCAAGGGCUCAGUCCCACAAGGCCACCCCCAUUUCAGACGCUAAUCACAAGUCCUAGGAUGUCACCUGGACUUCUGGCCGACAGGCUGUAAUUUGGGGUUCCCGUGGCCACACUUUGUUGGAUUUGAUAAUUUGCUAGAAUGGACAGAACUCGGGGAAAUACUUCCUUUUGUUUACCAGUUUAUUACAAAGGAUAUAGGAAAGGAUACAGGUGAACAGUGAGAGGAAGAGACACAUAAGGAAGGGUCUGGAAAGGUCCUGAGUGUGGCACUUCUGUCCUUGUGGUGUUGGGGUACCCCAUCCCCCCGCCUGUGGAUGUGUUCACCAGCCCAGAUGCUCUCUGAACCCCAUAGUUUAGGGAUUUUUAUGGAGGCUUUAUCACAUAGGCAUGAUCCGUUAUCAGCUUACGCUGAAAGUUCCAGACUGCUAAUCUUGGCUUGGUCUUUCUGGUGACCAGCUGCCAUCCAGGAGGCCACCGAGAGUCGCUUCAUUAGAACAGAAGACACUCCUAUUGCCCAGGAAAUUCCAAGGGAUUUAGGAGCUCCGUGUCAGAAAGAAGAUCAAAGGCCAAAUAUUAGGACGAACCAGGGAGGCCAUUUUCACAUACCCCUUCUUCCCUAGGGGCUGGUGUCUGAUCCUCGAAAGUAAUUUCACAGAUGUGGAAAUAGAGACGCAGAAAAGCGAUAACUCAUCCAAGUUCCCACAGCCAGUGACGGAGCUGAGCUUCGAGUCCAUGCAGCUUCCCUUGGGACCCCAUCCUUCCUCUUCUGCGGGUGGAAGUAACAAGUACCCUGCUGGGGAAAUCGAGGGCUGAGUCCUCAUAUGUCACAGCGGCCUGUAGGCAACCAAUGUCCCACGCCGUCAGAGGUAGAUGUGGAGCAAACGUACUUCCCAUACAUCGAUGGCGGGAGUGUUAAAUGGUACGGUCACUUGGAAAAACUCUUUGGCCAGCUUUUAAAAUACAAUUUAUUGUCAAAUUGGCUAACA